UACGUAGGGACCAAGCGUUGUUCGGAUUUACUGGGCGUAAAGGGCGCGUAGGCGGCAAUUCAAGUCAUCUGUGAAAUCUCCGGGCUUAACUCGGAACGGUCAGAUGAUACUGCUUUGCUAGAGUGCGGGAAGGGGCAAUCGGAAUUCUCGGUGUAGCGGUGAAAUGCGUAGAUAUCGAGAGGAACACCAGAGGUGAAGACGGGUUGCUGGGCCGACACUGACGUGAGGCGCGAAAGCGUGGGGAGCGAACAGG
rnacentral:rRNA from 1 species